UGUCAGGGGUUCAGGGACAGAGGCACAGGGUAGGGAGGAGAUGGAGAGCGAUGGGGAUGAAUCCCAGGACAGCGAGGAAGAGGAUGACAAUGACUCAAGAGAUUCCAUGAGUCUUUCCAGCGAAUCAGAGGAUUCCCAGAAGGGGGCGCCAGUGGUCAAGGCCAGGGGAGCCCCAGGGGGGACGUGUCAGGAACAGGGGGCCAGCGGGGGAUCCCAAAGUGGCAGCUGGGCGUCAGGACCAGCCUCCCCGCCAGAGUGCAGCGAAGGGGGUGGAGGUUCCAGUGUAUCAGGGGAAGCAGCUCCGGCAGCAGAGAAGGGAGGGAGGUCGGAGCAAGCCACCCUCCCGGAAGGGGAGGGGAGUAGUGAAGGGAGUAGUGUAACUGUCAAAAGGAAAGUUAGAGGUUGGGCGCGCGCGCCAAGUUCAAAUGUAGAGGCGCGCGGAAGUACAGGGAGCCCGGAGGAAGGGCCAGGUCCUAAAGCCCGCAGGAGGGGGGAAGAGCAGUCGGGGGAUAGCGCGUCAGGGGAAUCCAGGAGGGGCGAAACCCCAGCGGGCAGGAAGACCCUGAGGAAAAGGAAAGAGAGAAAGAGGUGGAGCAGCGCAAGGCUCUUAAACUGGUGCAGGGGAGGGACUGACUCAGAGGGGACUUCAACGGUCUAAGCGUACAGACGUGGGGCUGCGCGCCUCGGAUAUGAAGCAAACAAUGAACUGCAAUAAACACUUUUGUAUA